rnacentral:rRNA from 1 species
UACGUAGGGGGCAAGCGUUAUCCGGAAUUACUGGGUGUAAAGGGAGCGUAGACGGUAAUGUAAGUCUGGAGUGAAAGGCGGGGGCCCAACCCCCGGACUACUCUGGAAACUAUGUUACUAGAGUGCAGGAGAGGUAAGCGGAAUUCCUAGUGUAGCGGUGAAAUACGUAGAUAUUAGGAGGAACACCAGUGGCGAAGGCGGCUUACUGGACUGUAACUGACGUUGAGGCUCGAAAGCGUGGGGAGCAAACAGG